rnacentral:rRNA from 1 species
CUGAUGCGUUGUUGGGUAGGGGAGCGUUCUGUAAGCCUGCGAAGGUGUGCUGUGAGGCAUGCUGGAGGUAUCAGAAGUGCGAAUGCUGACAUAAGUAACGAUAAAGCGGGUGAAAAGCCCGCUCGCCGGAAGACCAAGGGUUCCUGUCCAACGUUAAUCGGGGCAGGGUGAGUCGACCCCUAAGGCGAGGCCGAAAGGCGUAGUCGAUGGGAAACAGGUUAAUAUUCCUGUACUUGGUGUUACUGCGAAGGGGGGACGGAGAAGGCUAUGUUGGCCGGGCGACGGUUGUCCCGGUUUAAGCGUGUAGGCUGGUUUUCCAGGCAAAUCCGGAAAAUCAAGGCUGAGGCGUGAUGACGAGGCACUACGGUGCUGAAGCAACAAAUGCCCUGCUUCCAGGAAAAGCCUCUAAGCAUCAGGUAACAUCAAAUCGUACCCCAAACCGACACAGGUGGUCAGGUAGAGAAUACCAAGGCGCUUGAGAGAACUCGGGUGAAGGAACUAGGCAAAAUGGUGCCGUAACUUCGGGAGAAGGCACGCUGAUAUGUAGGUGAGGUCCCUCGCGGAUGGAGCUGAAAUCAGUCGAAGAUACCAGCUGGCUGCAACUGUUUAUUAAAAACACAGCACUGUGCAAACACGAAAGUGGACGUAUACGGUGUGACGCCUGCCCGGUGCCGGAAGGUUAAUUGAUGGGGU